GACGAACGCUGGCGGCGUGCUUAACACAUGCAAGUCGAACGGAAAGGCCCUGCUUUUGUGGGGUGCUCGAGUGGCGAACGGGUGAGUAACACGUGAGUAACCUGCCCUUGACUUUGGGAUAACUUCAGGAAACUGGUGCUAAUACCGGAUAGGAGCUCCUGCUGCAUGGUGGGGGUUGGAACGUUUCGGCGGUUGGGGAUGGACUCGCGGCUUAUCAGCUUGUUGGUGGGGUAGUGGCUUACCAAGGCUUUGACGGGUAGCCGGCCUGUGAGGGUGACCGGCCACAUUGGGACUGAGAUACGGCCCAGACUCCUACGGGAGGCAGCAGUGGGGAAUAUUGCACAAUGGGCGGAAGCCUGAUGCAGCAACGCCGCGUGCGGGAUGACGGCCUUCGGGUUGGAAACCGCUUUCGCCUGUGACGAAGCGUGAGUGACGGUAAUGGGUAAAGAAGCACCGGCUAACUACGUG
rnacentral:rRNA from 1 species